rnacentral:rRNA from 1 species
AUUGAACGCUGGCGGCAUGCCUUACACAUGCAAGUCGAACGGUAACAGGUCUUCGGAUGCUGACGAGUGGCGAACGGGUGAGUAAUACAUCGGAACGUGCCCAGUCGUGGGGGAUAACUACGCGAAAGCGUAGCUAAUACCGCAUACGAUCUAUGGAUGAAAGCGGGGGAUCGCAAGACCUCGCGCGAUUGGAGCGGCCGAUGGCAGAUUAGGUAGUUGGUGGGGUAAAGGCUCACCAAGCCGACGAUCUGUAGCUGGUCUGAGAGGACGACCAGCCACACUGGGACUGAGACACGGCCCAGACUCCUACGGGAGUCAGCAGUGGGGAAUUUUGGACAAUGGGCGCAAGCCUGAUCCAGCAAUGCCGCGUGCAGGAUGAAGGCCUUCGGGUUGUAAACUGCUUUUGUACGGAACGAAAAGGCUUUUUCUAAUACAGAGAGCUCAUGACGGUACCGUAAGAAUAAGCACCGGCUAACUACGUGCCAGCCGCCGCGGUAAGAC